rfam:Schistosoma mansoni, Puerto Rico, WGS project CABG01000000 data, contig: 0153
AUCCAUCUGGUGAGUCCCAAAUAGGACGAAACACGCGUCCUGGAU